rnacentral:lncRNA from 1 species
CUUGGUGUUUGACCAAGUGUUUUUAUUGUUUCGAACGAUUGAUUUUAUUUUUGACCAAUUACUUAAUUAGUUCAUUUUAUCUAACUAAGGGCAAGAAAAUAAAAACAAACAAAUAAAUAAAAAUUACAAUCAAAGUGGUGGGUACAUUUGUCAUUUUAAGAAUAAUGAAUAUAAAUAUAAAAUAAAUAAUAACAAUAAUAUACAAAUCCUAAUCAAAGUAAAUAAAAUAAAAAUAAAAUAAAACAAAGAGAAA